rnacentral:rRNA from 1 species
UACGUAGGGGGCAAGCGUUGUCCGGAUUUAUUGGGCGUAAAGAGCGUGUAGGCGGCCAGGUAGGUCCGCUGUGAAAACUCGAGGCUCAACCUCGAGAUGUCGGUGGAAACCAUCUGGCUAGAGUCCGGAAGAGGAGAAUGGAAUUCCUGGUGUAGCGGUGAAAUGCGCAGAUAUCGGGAAGAACACCCGUGGCGAAGGCGGUUCUCUGGGACGGUACUGACGCUGAGACGCGAAAGCGUGGGGAGCGAACAGG